rnacentral:rRNA from 1 species
UGGGGACGACGUCAAAUCAUCAUGCCCUUUAUGUCCUGGGCUACACACGUACUACAAUGGCCGUUACAACGGGAAGCGAAGGAGCAAUCCGGAGCAAAUCCCUUAAAGACGGUCCCAGUUCAGAUUGUGGGCUGAAACUCGCCCACAUGAAGGCGGAAUUGCUAGUAAUUGCAGAUCAGCAUGCUGCAGUGAAUACGUUCCCGGGCCUU